AGCUUAGGAGUUGAAGUGGGUUUUCCUGCCUGGAAUGGUUGGAAUUCUUGCAGUGGUGAGAGGCGGGGCAGAGCCAGGCCUCACCGAUGCUCCGACAGAAGCACCGCAGAACUCAGCAACCACCGGCCGCUCUCCCGCCCCCUCCAGCGCACACAGGAAACAGAGGGGAAGGCCAAACCAGGCCAGCCAGCCUUCAUCCCAGACAGACCGCUCACUGAGAAGAAGGACACCCGAAACGCAGAUCCCAGGGCACCACCGCACCGGCAGACCCCGCCGGAGCGCACGGAACCCCGUCUCCAUCCACCCUGACCACGGCCCAGCACCACGGGCACCGCGCUGGAGCCGAACAUCGGCGCGCUGAGCAGGAGCGGCCGUGAUGAGGAGGCGCCCGGGGUCCUCGGGCAGCCCCCCAGCUCGGGGACGCCUCUGACGAGCACCGCCCGCGUGACCCAGCGCGACAUCCAUCUCAUAAACCGGAGACUCGCGGCACAUGCAGCAGGGCCACAGGGCCAUGCGCCGGGAGGCAGCCCUUGAUGCACGUCUCAGAGAUUCGUCCGAACACUGCGAUGAGGAGAGGGCAUGGCGCAGGGGCAUGCAGGAACCACUGAAAUGUGCAGCCCUGGGCUCACUCUCUCUCUCCUGCAGAGUUGAGGAAGCACCAGCCCAGGACUCCAUGAACACCGCAGGGCCGGCUUCCUCCUGCAGCGCGGGCCGCCUCUGCCUUCUUGGCCCCUUCACCCGUGCACCUCACCGAGACAAGGCCAGCCCUCCCUGGCCAUCACUCAUCACUCCCCGGGCCCUGAGAGCCCGGGCCGGGCUGGGUCUCAGUGUCGGAAGCUUUACAAACCAACACCCGUGUCCUCAAAGCAGGGAAGCAGAAAAGACGCUGAGACCCCACAUGGGAUUCCCAGGGCAGAAGCCUUUCUCGCCUGACAGGUGGGAGCGGAGUGCAGGCCUGGGUUGCUGGCGUUGGCCUUGCGUCCCAGGACCUGGCCUGUGACCUGCUUAUGAAUGAAGGGAACUAGGAGGGAUUAAGCUCCUACUGUGUGCCCAGAGCCACUCGAGGGCCUCACGUAGCCCAGCUCUACAGAUGAAGGCAGGGUCUCCACGCUGGCAGGCAGCAUGGCCCACCAGAUCCUUUAGGGUCGGGUGGUGUCACAGAGACCUAGCCCAGCGCAGACAGGGCCACCAUCAAUACUCACUGAAUGGCUGAGUCAGUAGACGUCCCGUACUCU
ensembl:lncRNA